rnacentral:rRNA from 1 species
CGAACGAGAACGUGGCGACGGGUGAGUGCCGGGAAAUUGGUUCAUGGCUCACCAAGUCAAUGACGCCUAACUGGUUUGAGAGGAUGAUCAGUCACACUGGAACUGAGACACGGUCCAGACUCCUACGGGAGGCAGCAGUGGGGAAUAUUGCACAAUGGAGGAAACUCUGAUGCAGCAACGCCGCGUGGAGGAUGACACUUUUCGGAGCGUAAACUCCUUUUAUAUAGGAAGAUAAUGACGGUACUAUAUGAAUAAGCACCGGCUAACUCCGUGCCAGCAGCCGCGGUAAUACGGAGGGUGCAAGCGUUACUCGGAAUCACUGGGCGUAAAGAGCGUGUAGGCGGGUUAUUAAGUCAGAAGUGAAAUCCUAUGGCUCAACCAUAGAACUGCUUUUGAAACUGGUAACCUAGAGUAUGGGAGAGGUAGAUGGAAUUUCUGGUGUAGGGGUAAAAUCCGUAGAGAUCAGAAGGAAUACCGAUUGCGAAGGCGAUCUACUGGAACAUUACUGACGCUGAGACGCGAAAGCGUGGGGAGCAAACAGGAUUAGAUACCCUGGUAGUCCACGCCCUAAACGAUGUACACUAGUUGUUGCCAUGCUAGACAUGGCAGUAAUGCAGUUAACACAUUAAGUGUACCGCCUGGGGAGUACGGUCGCAAGAUUAAAACUCAAAGGAAUAGACGGGGACCCGCACAAGCGGUGGAGCAUGUGGUUUAAUUCGACGAUACGCGAAGAACCUUACCUGGACUUGACAUUUACAGAACUUUCAAGAGAUUGAUUGGUGUCUGCUUGCAGAAACUGUAGGACAGGUGCUGCACGGCUGUCGUCAGCUCGUGUCGUGAGAUGUUGGGUUAAGUCCCGCAACGAGCGCAACCCACGUCGUUAGUUGCUAACAGUUCGGCUGAGAACUCUAACGAGACUGCCUGGGCAACCAGGAGGAAGGUGUGGACGACGUCAAGUCAUCAUGGCCCUUACGUCCAGGGCUACACACGUGCUACAAUGGGGUAUACAAAGAGCAGCAAUACCGCGAGGUGGAGCAAAUCUCAAAAAUAUCUCCCAGUUCGGAUUGUACUCUGCAACUCGAGUGCAUGAAGUUGGAAUCGCUAGUAAUCGUAGAUCAGCAAUGCUACGGUGAAUACGUUCCCGGGUCUUGUACUCACCGCCCGUCACACCAUGGGAGUUGAACUCAUUCGAAGCGGGGAUG